GGUUGGUCCAAAGGUAAUGACCUAUCUCAGUUGAUUGUUUACAUUCAGUUAUACUGUCAAACUCCUUGCUCUACCCUCCCCCACUCCUCACCAUUGUCCUUGACUAGUCUUAA
ensembl:misc_RNA Y_RNA Y RNA